AUUGAACGCUGGCGGCAGGCUUAACACAUGCAAGUCGAGCGGAGAUGAGGUGCUUGCACCUUAUCUUAGCGGCGGACGGGUGAGUAAUGCUUAGGAAUCUGCCUAUUAGUGGGGGACAACAUUCCGAAAGGAAUGCUAAUACCGCAUACGUCCUACGGGAGAAAGCAGGGGAUCUUCGGACCUUGCGCUAAUAGAUGGGCCUAAGUCGGAUUAGCUAGUUGGUGGGGUAAAGGCCUACCAAGGCGGCGAUCUGUAGCGGGUCUGAGAGGAUGAUCCGCCACACUGGGACUGAGACACGGCCCAGACUCCUACGGGAGGCAGCAGUGGGGAAUAUUGGACAAUGGGGGGAACCCUGAUACAGCCAUGCCGCGUGUGUGAAGAAGGCCUUAUGGUUGUAAAGCACUUUAAGCGAGGAGGAGGCUACUGAGACUAAUACUCUUGGAUAGUGGACGUUACUCGCAGAAUAAGCACCGGCUAACUCUGUGCCAGCCGCCGCCGUAA
rnacentral:rRNA from 1 species